GAUGAACGCUGGCGGCGUGCCUAAUACAUGCAAGUCGAGCGAACGGACGAGAAGCUUGCUUUUCUGAUGUUAGCGGCGGACGGGUGAGUAACACGUGGUUAACCUACCUAUAAGACUGGGAUAACUUCGGGAAACCGGAGCUAAUACCGGAUAAUAUUUUGAACCGCAUGGUUCAAAAGUGAAAGACGGUCUUGCUGUCACUUAUAGAUGGAUCCGCGCUGCAUUAGCUAGUUGGUAAGGUAACGGCUUACCAAGGCAACGAUGCAUAACCGACCUGAGAGGGUGAUCGGCCACACUGGAACUGAGACACGGUCCAGACUCCUACGGGAGGCAGCAGUAGGGAAUCUUCCGCAAUGGGCGAAAGCCUGACGGAGCAACGCCGCGUGAGUGAUGAAGGUCUUCGGAUCGUAAAACUCUGUUAUUAGGGAAGAACAUAUGUGUAAGUAACUGUGCACAUCUUGACGGUACCUAAUCAGAAAGCCACGGCUAACUACGUG
rnacentral:rRNA from 1 species